CAGUAGCCGCGGUAAUACGUAGGUGGCAAGCGUUGUCCGGAAUUAUUGGGCGUAAAGGGCUCGCAGGCGGUUUCUUAAGUCUGAUGUGAAAGCCCCCGGCUCAACCGGGGAGGGUCAUUGGAAACUGGGAAACUUGAGUGCAGAAGAGGAGAGUGGAAUUCCACGUGUAGCGGUGAAAUGCGUAGAGAUGUGGAGGAACACCAGUGGCGAAGGCUACUUUCUGGUCUGUAACUGACGCUGAGGAGCGAAAGCGUGGGGAGCGAACAGGAUUAGAUACCCGCGUAGUCCCUGUCUCUUAUAC
rnacentral:rRNA from 1 species